AUGCUAUGUAGCUUCAGUCAUGUCCAACUUUGCAGCAGACUUGAGCAAUACGUGAACAGUGAACUUCCUGAUGUUCAAGCUGGUUUUAUAAAAGGCAGAGGAACCAGUGAUCAAAUUGCCAACAUCCGCUGGAUCAUGGAAAAAGCAAGAGAGUUCCAGAAAAACAUCUAUUUCUGCUUUAUUGACUAUGCCAAAGCCUUUGACUGUGUGGAUCACAAUAAACUGUGGAAAAGUCUGAAAGACAUGUCAAUACCAGACCACCUGACCUGCCUCUUUAGAAAUCUGUAUACAGGUCAGGAAGCAACAGUUAGAACUGGACAUGGAACAACAGACUGGUUCCAAAUAGGAAAAGGAGUACGUCAAGGCUGUAUAUUGUCACCCUGCUUAUUUAACUUCUAUGCAGAGUACAUCAUGAGAAACGCUGGACUGGAAGAAACACAAGCUGGAAUCAAGAUUGCCAGGAGAAAUAUCAAUCACCUCAGAUAUGCAGAUGACACCACCCUUAUGGCAGAAAGUGAAGAGGAGCUAAAAAGCCUCUUGAUGAAAGUGAAAGAGGAAAGUGAAAAAGUUGGCUUAAAGCCCAACAUUCAGAAAACAAAGAUCAUGGCAUCUGGUCCCAUCACUUCAUGGGAAAUAGAUGGGGAAACAGUGGAAACAGUGUCAGACUUUAUUUUUGGGGGCUCCAAAAUCACUGCAGAUGGUGACUGCAGCCAUGAAAUUAAAAGAUGCUUACUCCUUGGAAGAAAAGUUAUGACCAACCUAGAUAGUAUAUUCAAAAGCAGAGACAUUACUUUGCCGACUAAGAUCCAUCUAGUCAAGGCUAUGGUUUUCCCUGUGGUCACGUACGGAUGUGAGAGUUGGACUGUGAAGAAGGCUGAGCGCCGAAGAAUUGAUGCUUUUGAACUGUGGUGUUGGAGAAGACUCUUGAGGGUCCCUUGGACUGCAAGGAGAUCCAACCAGUCCAUUCUGAAGGAGAUCAACCCUGGGAUUUGUUUGGAAGGAAUGAUGCUAAAGCUGAUGCUCCAUGUGAAGAGUUGA
rnacentral:lncRNA from 1 species